GUUACCCUGACUCAAGGCUGACACUUUCCUAACACUUGGUUUCAAGCAGGAGCCUAAAGAGAUGUCUUUCUGUGGUCUGUUGACCAUUUCAGAACUUGGGAAACAAAAUGGUCAAUUCACUAGAAAGAAACACCU
ensembl:snoRNA small nucleolar RNA SNORA2/SNORA34 family